rnacentral:lncRNA from 1 species
AUGUCAGAAGCGGCCGUGGACACCAGCUCCGAAGAGAAAAAGGAAGUUGUGGAGGAGGCAGAGAGUGGAAGAGAUGCACCUGCCAAUGCAAAUGCUCAAAAUGAGAAAAAUGGGGAGCAGGAAGCUGACAAUGAGGUAGAUGAAGAAGAGGAGGAAGGUGGGGGGGAGGAGGAAGAAGAAGGUGACGGUGAGGAAGAGGAUGGAGAUGACGAUGAGGAAGCUGAGGCUCCUACGGGCAAGCGGGUAGCUGAGAAUGAUGAAGAUGACGAUGUCGACACCAAGAAGCAGAAGACUGAGGAGGAUGCCUAG